UCCCCAUUUGUCAAGUAAGGAUACUUUUUCCAAGUCUGUCAAAAUAAGGAUAAGCCAAGUUAAGCUACCUUAAAACUCCGAAAUUCUAUGACUUAAAAUAGGAGAGCAUUUUAAGAAGACUUUUAUGCUAGGAUUAUUCAAAUAGCCAGUUCCUGCUAAGCCUGCCCCUCUCUGAGCUCUUGUGUCAGUGAGGGCAGGUGUGUGGCCAGCUCCUACGCUUCCCAACUCCCAAGUUCUUUCCUGCACAAGGUCCAAUUGCUGGGUGAGUCAGGGUGGGGUUGCUUUUUACACCCGGUACUGGCAGGCACCACCAGGAGAGGUGUUUAUUUUUCUUUUUAGGACCUCGCCUGUGGCAUAUGGAGGUUCCCAGGCUAGGGGUCUAAUUGGAGCUGUAGCCGCUGGCCUACAGCAGAGCCACAGCAACAUGGGAUCCAAGCCACGUCUUCGACUUAUACCACAGGUCACGGCAAUGCCAGAUCCUUAACCCACUGAGCGAGGCCAAGGAUCGAACCCACAAGCUCAUGGUUCAUAGUUGGAUUCGUUAACCACUGAGCCACAACGGGAAUUCCAUGUGGGCUUUUAAAUAUUUGUGAAAAACAAAGACAAUAAACAGUUUUGUGUGACUUGCCUUGAAGCUCCUAAUUCCAUGGCUGGAAUUUAAUAAGAAAGUUGGGGAGUUCCUGAAAAAAAAAAAGAAAGAAAGAAAGUUGGGGAGUUCCUGUUGUGUUCCAGCAAAAACAAUCUGACUAGUAUCCAUGAGGAUGCAGAUUCGAUCCCUGGCCUCGCUCAGUGGAUUAAGGAUCCGGUAUUGCUUGAGCUGUGGGCGUAGGUCACAGAUGUGGCUUGGACCUGGCAUUGCUAUGGCUGUGGCGUAGGCUGGUAGCUUCAGCGCCAAUUCGACCCCUAGUCUGGGAACCUCCAUAUGCUGUGAGUACAGCCCUAAGAAGACAAAAAAAAAAAAAAGAAGAAGAAGAAGAAGAAGAAAAAUAAAUAGAUUUUGUAGGCUAUGUUUCUUCUUUUCUUUUCUUUUUCUUUUUAAAUGGCUAUACACUUAGCAUAUGGAAAUUCCCAGGCUAGGGAUCGAAUCCAAGCAGCAGUUGCGACCUACUUCAUAGGUGCAAUAACGCCAGAUCCUUUAAUCCACUGGGCUGGGCAGGGGAUUGAACCCACACCUCCACAGCGACCUGAGCUGCUGCAGUCAGAUUCUCAACCCACUGCAUCAUGAAGGAAACUCCAACUCUUGUUUUCUUUAUAGUCAGCAUGAAACGAGAAAGGUUACACCCUGGUUCUGGCAAAGAUUUCCUAACAGAUGAAUAAAAAUGGACUGGGACAUGGAAUGUUUGCUUGACAUAUUGCUUUCUAAUUUGGAGGACUGUCCAAGUUAAUGUUCUUUCCUUAUAAUUAGGUUUAUUAAUAUUAAAUUCUUGCAUAACAUAGGACUUUCUGGUUUAGAACUAGAAGAGACAUUUUCCCAUAAAUUCUAGAUUUCAGAUUCCUACACUUAUUCAUGGAAAAACUUUUUAACUAUUCAAAACUACUUUGUGGGUUUACAUGUUAUUAGGAGGCACAAAGCAGGAUGUAGGCGUGGGUAGUUCUGUAUUUUAAGACCUCAGUAUGCAUUCACUUACCAGUUUUCACUUUGGGCAAGUUACCUAAACCUCUCUGUGCCUCAGUUUCCUUGAUUUUAUUAUGGGGAUGAUAAUAGUGUCCCUCACAAAGCUAAACUCAGUGUUUGGGAAUGUGCCUAUUACAGGAUGAGGACUUAAGAAAUAAGAGUUUUAUAUUAUCAAAAGGUUAUUAUCAAGAAAUUCCCUGGUGGCUCAGUGUGUUAAGGAUCUGGUGUUGUCACUGCUGUGGCUCAGGUGGCACCUGUGAUGUGGGUUCAGUCCCUGGCCACAGAACUUCCACAUGCCAU
rnacentral:lncRNA from 1 species